AGGCAAGAUGAUAAGGGAGGCAGAAAGUAUUCCAGAGUCAGGCAGGGGUAAAAACCAGAAAGACUAUAAAAAAGAUAAUAGCAAAACGAGAACGGGAAAACCAUGCUGGUUGAUUUGACAAACAUACAAGACGAACUGGCACAGAGAGACAGGAAAGACAGGGAUAAAUACACUGGAGAAAAUCAGCGGCACUUGGAGGGGGUGGAGACAAUCACAAGGACAGGUGAAACAGAUCACGGUGUGACACAAAAUGGAGGAAGCAGCCAACCGGGACGUUUCUAAGUUUAAGAAGGUGCAGCAUGAGAUGAGCUGGAGGAGGCAGAGGAGCGCGCUUACAUCGCUGAGACCUAAGUCAACAAGCUCGGGGCCAAGGGUCGCAACUCCGGAGGAAAAGUACAGUCUAUAAGUCUGAUGCAUCCAAAAUGGCGUCUUAUUCCCUACAUAGUGCAAUACCUUUGACUUUUGACGGAGUCUGUUGUAUUCUUUCAAACAUUCAUGUGGUUUCGAGUGAAAAGGAUGAUGUUGAUCCCUUCUUCGCUUUCUGUCUUCCUUUUCACAGAAAGUUGAAGGUGAAUAAACAAUGCCCAACCUUUCCUAUUUCCAUGUUUGUGUAAUAACAUUUUAAUUGGUGAAACUCUGAACAUUCAUUAAACUUGUGUAGCUA